GUCCACGUAGCUUAUAACAAAGCAUAGCACUGAAGAUGCUAAGAUGGCUGCCCCGCACCCCGAGGACA
rnacentral:tRNA from 1 species